UACAGAGGGUGCAAGCGUUAAUCGGAGUUACUGGGCGUAAAGGGCGCGUAGGUGGAUGAGUGUGUUGGAUGUGAAAGCCCCAGGCUUAACCUGGGAAGGCCAUUCAAAACUACUUGUCUAGAGUGCAGUAGAGGGAAGUGGAAUUUCCGGUGUAGCGGUGAAAUGCGUAGAUAUCGGAAGGAACACCAGUGGCGAAGGCGACUUCCUGGACUGUAACUGACACUGAGGCGCGAAAGCGUGGGGAGCAAACAGG
rnacentral:rRNA from 1 species